UCUUGACAUCCAGAGAACUUGGCAGAGAUGCCUUGGUGCCUUCGGGAACUCUGAGACAGGUGCUGCAUGGCUGUCGUCAGCUCGUGUUGUGAAAUGUUGGGUUAAGUCCCGCAACGAGCGCAACCCCCUAUCCUUUGUUGCCAGCGAUUCGGUCGGGAACUCAAAGGAGACUGCCGGUGAUAAACCGGAGGAAGGUGGGGAUGACGUCAAGUCAUCAUGGCCCUUACGAGUAGGGCUACACACGUGCUACAAUGGCGUAUACAAAGAGAAGCGACCUCGCGAGAGCAAGCGGACCUCAUAAAGUACGUCGUAGUCCGGAUUGGAGUCUGCAACUCGACUCCAUGAAGUCGGAAUCGCUAGUAAUCGUAGAUCAGAAUGCUACGGUGAAUACGUUCCCGGGCCUUGUACACACCGCCCGUCACACCAUGGGAGUGGGUUGCAAAAGAAGUAGAUAGCUUAACCUUCGGGAGGGCGUUUACCACUUUGUGAUUCAUGACUGGGGUGAAGUCGUAACAAGGUAAGCGUACGUGU
rnacentral:rRNA from 1 species